rnacentral:rRNA from 1 species
AUUGCCCUAGUAACGGCGAGUGAAGCGGCAACAGCUCAAAUUUGAAAUCUGGCCCUCUGGCCCGAGUUGUAAUUUGUAGAGGAUGCUUUUGGUGAGGUGCCUUCCGAGUUCCCUGGAACGGGACGCCAUAGAGGGUGAGAGCCCCGUCUGGUUGGACACCGAGCCUCUGUAAAGCUCCUUCGACGAGUCGAGUAGUUUGGGAAUGCUGCUCUAAAUGGGAGGUAUAUGUCUUCUAAAGCUAAAUACCGGCCAGAGACCGAUAGCGCACAAGUAGAGUGAUCGAAAGAUGAAAAGCACUUUGAAAAGAGGGUUAAACAGUACGUGAAAUUGUUGAAAGGGAAGCGCUUGUGACCAGACUUGGGCUUGGUCAAUCAUCCAGUGUUCUUCACUGGUGCACUUGGCCGGCCUAGGCCAGCAUCAGUUCGGUGCGGGGGAUAAAGGCCUCGGGAAUGUGGCUCCCUCGGGAGUGUUAUAGCCCGUGGCGCAAUACCCUGCGCCGGACUGAGGUUCGCGCAUCUGCAUGGAUGCUGGCGUAAUGGUCAUCAGCGACCCGUCUUGAAACACGGACCAAGGAGUCGUCUUCGUAUGCGAGUGUUCGGGUGUCAAACCCCUACGCGUAAUGAAAGUGAACGCAGGUGAGAGCUUCGGCGCAUCAUCGACCGAUCCUGAUGUUCUCGGAUGGAUUUGAGUAAGAGCAUACGGGGCCGGACCCGAAAGAAGGUGAACUAUGCCUGUAUAGGGUGAAGCCAGAGGAAACUCUGGUGGAGGCUCGCAGCGGUUCUGACGUGCAAAUCGAUCGUCAAAUAUGGGCAUGGGGGCGAAAGACUAAU